GACUCGGUGGUGGAAGGUCCACGUCCACGACAUGUGGGGGACUUCAAUUAAGUGAACGUGGAAGUCGCCUGUUCGAAUCAGGUCCGAGUCG